rnacentral:rRNA from 1 species
UGACAGGUGGUGCAUGGUUGUCGUCAGCUCGUGUCGUGAGAUGUUGGGUUAAGUCCCGCAACGAGCGCAACCCUUGCCUUUAGUUGCCAGCAUUAAGUUGGGCACUCUAGAGGGACUGCCAGGGAUAACCUGGAGGAAGGUGGGGAUGACGUCAAAUCAUCAUGCCCCUUAUGCUUAGGGCUACACACGUGCUACAAUGGGUGGUACAGAGGGCAGCCAAGUCGUGAGGCGGAGCUAAUCCCUUAAAGCCAUUCUCAGUUCGGAUUGUAGGCUGAAACUCGCCUACAUGAAGCUGGAGUUACUAGUAAUCGCAGAUCAGAAUGCUGCGGUGAAUGCGUUCCCGGGUCUUGUACACACCGCCCGUCACACCACGGGAGUUGGGGCGCCCGAAGCCGGAUUGCUAACCUUUUGGAAGCGUCCGUCGAAGGUGAAAUCAAUAAC